CAGAGACUGCAAGCGUUAUUCGGGAUUCACUGGGCGUAAAGGGUGCGCAGGCGGCCGGGUGUGUCAGAUUGUGAAAUCCCGAGGCUUAACCCUCGGAACUGCGUCUGAAACUACUCGGCUAGAGUACUGGAGAGGGUAACGGAAUUCACGGGUGUAGCAGUGAAAUGCGUAGAUAUCGUGAGGAACACCAGAGGCGAAGGCGGUUACCUGGACAGUUACUCGACGCUCAGGCACGAAAGCAUGGGGAGCAAAAGGGAUUAGAUACCCCUGUAGUCCAUGCCCUAAACGGUGCACACUAGGUCUUAGCGGAUUCGACCCCACUAGGGACCCAAGCUAACGCGUUAAGUGUGCCGCCUGAGGACUACGGUCGCAAGACUA
rnacentral:rRNA from 1 species